rnacentral:lncRNA from 1 species
GUUUCUCCAGUCAUAGGGGCUCAUCUGUGACCUGUCUCGCUUCUUUCUUCCAAACAGUUUUCCUUCCACCAUAGUCUUGUCAGGUUGCAAGACAAAAGCUAAAGCAUAGCUAAGGGAAGACACGCAACGAUCUGCCAGACUAGAAGCCCACCCUGUCUCCCACAAAACUUACCAUUUGGUCCUUCCAAAUGUCCCUUGAUGCAUACGUUCUGGGGGCAGAAAAGAGCCUGCAUUGCCUCAUCUCAGGCCUGUGCCUGUGUCCAUGGGAUGCUGAAUUGCAGACAGGUGGCUCUGGGAACAUGUGCUGCACAGACAAACACAAGAAAUGUGGAAUGCCUUUAGAGAGGCUGCUUGUUGAGAGACAUCAUUAGCUUCGAGCUGUCUGCUCGUCCCCCGGAGUGGGUGGAACAAGGUGAGAAAAUAUGUGGGGAAAUAAAAAAGCCAAGGGAAGGGAAGGGCUGGUUGUCGAAGGCGAGUAUCUUGGGCUGGGAAAUUGAGACUUGUUUCAGGAGUGUGGCAUAGAAUUUUAAGUAGCACAGUGGAUACAAGCGAAGAAAAGCAAAAGAAAACAGCAACAUGCUAGAGCACCAGGAAGAGCUAGCUGUAACACUGGGCAAUGCUGGUUAAAAAAGGAGACAGAAGCCACUAAAAGCAAGGGACCGUUUACCCAGGCAGAAAACAAAACAGCCAAGGUUUAUGCUUGUUUAUGAUUAUUUUCUUUUUUCAGUACCUAAAUACAACUGUAAAAUGGCAUUAUGAAGUUAUUACCAGGAACAUGGUACUACAUGAGCUGGUUUCUUUCAUGUGAAAGGCUCUUCCUAGAAAUCAAGUGCAUGAGGUUCCAAAUUCCAGCUAUGGUUCAAAGAAUGCAGACUUGGGUCACUGCAAGCCUACAAAGCCAUAGGUAGUUCUGAACAUGUGAUCAUCAGACAUUCAUGUGCAAGUCUGAAUGGAGACAGUGAUCUGUUUAGCAGUGUGCUCUUAAAAAGUUUUAUUGAAUCGGGCUCCAUUUUUUUCCCCAUAAAAUGUCUACAUUCUUUGCCCCACUGUGACUUCAAGACGGUGAUGUAAAGGUGUAGCAGAAAUGCUAAUUCACAGUUUGAAACAGUGAUUGAGCACCUGGUGGGGAGGCAGGACCAACCCAGGGGAGCUCAGGUGCAUGCAAUGAAAUGCAUCUGAGUGAUUGGAAAGGGUGGAGCCAGGAUCCACCCCUUCCCAGACCUCAUUUAAGGGCUGGCAGUGGAGGUGAGGGUAUCUCACUGGAUAUCCCUGCCUACUGGAAAUCUUCCAAAGCAAGCUAAAUUCUGAAGGAUUUGAACACCCAUAACUUUGUCUGAAGUCAGUGAAAGCUGCGGAUACUGAAGAUUGCUGAGAUGUUAGGAAGAGAACAGUGGGAGAGAGAAGCAAAAUUCUAAAAGGGAAAAGAAAAAAGAAAAAACGCACAACGCUGUAUAUAAAAAGAGAUUAGUUGGUUUAUAAUAUGAAAAUUCCACUGUUGUAAAAGAAUCAGAAGAGAAACAGAAUCCUAUCAGCAAAGAAAAUUGACCAUGAAGACAGGAGCAGACCUCUAUCCUACAAACUUCCCCUCGCUUUUAACGAUGUCCUUUGUCUCUUUCUGCUAAUAUAGGACAAAUCUUGUCUUACAGCUUUCAAGAAAUCUGAAAUUAAUGUAAAAGUCAUGUCUGGGUAAGGAAGUGAGAGAUCAAACCCGGUAGGAUGAUGCAACAGCUGCGCAGCCCAGCAUCUGUUCAGUAACAAAUGUUUUUUUAUUGCACUUUGGUUUUGUUUUUUUUUUUUUAAGCCCUUGUUUGAGGUUCAAGUAUUGUUCACAACAACAGCAAACUACUUCAAUCCUCAAGAAUAACAAAAACGACCCUAAGUAAGGGGGAGAUUGCCAUGUCUGACCAAGUGCUGGAGCUGCUUCCCUGCGCAUCAGCACCGCGGACAGAGGCCCCACCUGCUGCGCUUGCCCUCAUUGCCUUGUGCAAAAAUCGUUGGCCAAUAUCUCUUUUCAAGUGACGGAAGUGGGAUGGUUAAAAACUUAUAACAGCUAAUCUAAGAGAACAAUAAUUCCCAGAGUUAAACCCUCUAACCCAUUUUUUUUUCCCACAUUAUUUUUCCACCUAUGAAGUCGACGUCUCUUAGCUGGAGUGUGAAACGUUAUCUUCUAGUCUAUUGGGACAGCCUGGCAUAUGGAGAGUGACUGUACUGUUAGGAGUGCAGAAAUUGAGCAUUUAUUUUAGUGGCAGGAUCAUGUGAUUUUUCUUUGCCUAUCAGCUAAAUUUACUGUUUCUAAAGCACAGGGAGACAAAUUUAUUGGAAAAUUCAAAGCAAGGGGCAUAAAAAAAAUACUGUGGACCCUGGAAAUCAUUUCAAGAUCAAUCUAUAAAAAAAAGUUGCAUUACUAUGUAAUGAAGAACUGUCAGAAAAGAGUCAGCUGAAGAUGAAAAGCCAUGUACAAAAGAGUAAGCAUCAACAGCCAAGGCUCUGUAUGGAAGUGCAGUCAUAUCUCGCAUUUAAAAAAAAAAAAAAAGAAAAGGUUCUUCAGUAUUCAGAUUUCUCAGCUGGCAUUCUUGGGAUUUCAUCUGUUUCUUACAGAUCAUAUUGUAGAGGAUGAGACUUAAAUUUAGGGCUGAACAUCUCCCGAGCCUCAUCAUCUUCACGAGAAUUUAUUUUAAAGGGCCAUGAAGGUCCAUUCUAUCCCUAAAAAACAUACACUGAUAAAGACAGGACAGAAGGGUGCGGGGAGGUAUUCCUCCCUCCCUAACAUAUACAUCUUCCUGUUACCAGUUUCCUCUGUACUCCUUCCUCUAUGCACUCCCCUGCAGUGAUUGGCAGUCAUGACUACAGGACAUCCAGACUGAGACAUGACUGAGACACAGUGCCUCAGAACUUGGGAGUAGCAAUAUCGAAAACAGUGAAUUGUGGUCAGAUGUCUGAUGCUUAUGGCCAUCCAGAAGUCAGGGGACUGUAGAAGAUGAUUUAAUAAUGAGCUCAGAGAGCUAAUGGUGGUGAAGGAAGGGAGCAAGGAAGUCUGCUGGAAUGCAUGGAAAGGAAGGAAAUGGUCCAGGAUUUGACUCUCAGUGAGAGGUCAGAAAAUAAUAGUGUAUUAAAAGUCAGAGGUGGAGGGGGAGCUGAGGCAGAAGAGAUGAGGGAUGGCUGUGAGGAAGCAGUCACUGCAAAGUGAUGCAUGUUCACCUGAAGGGGUCCUGAAGACUUGGAGAAACUUUUCUGGGCUUCUCUCAGACCCGUCUUCUCUGCAAGUUACUACCAUUUUCACUGUUUAUUCUUCUGACAGCUUUUCUCUCAGCAUAAACAGGCUGUCUUGUCUUG